GAUGAACGCUGGCGGCGUGCUUAACACAUGCAAGUCGAGCGAGAAAAGUUCUUCGGAGCUUUUCUAGCGGCGGACGGGUGAGUAACACGUGGGCAACCUGCCUCAUAGAGGGGAAUAGCCUUCCGAAAGGAAGAUUAAUACCGCAUAACAUUGUUGAAAGGCAUCUUUUAACAAUCAAAGGAGCAAUCCGCUAUGAGAUGGGCCCGCGGCGCAUUAGCUAGUUGGUGAGGUAACGGCUCACCAAGGCGACGAUGCGUAGCCGACCUGAGAGGGUGAUCGGCCACAUUGGAACUGAGACACGGUCCAGACUCCUACGGGAGGCAGCAGUGGGGAAUAUUGCACAAUGGGGGAAACCCUGAUGCAGCAACGCCGCGUGAGUGAUGAAGGUCUUCGGAUCGUAAAGCUCUGUUGUAAGAGAAAAACGGCACUCAUAGGGAAUGAUGAGUGAGUGAUGGUAUCUUACCAGAAAGUCACGGCUAACUACGUGCCAGCAGCCGCGGUAAUACGUAGGUGGCGAGCGUUAUCCGGAAUGAUUGGGCGUAAAGGGUGCGUAGGUGGCAGAUCAAGUCUGGAGUAAAAGGUAUGGGCUCAACCCGUACUGGCUCUGGAAACUGAUCAGCUAGAGAACAGAAGAGGACGGCGGAACUCCAUGUGUAGCGGUAAAAUGCGUAGAUAUAUGGAAGAACACCGGUGGCGAAGGCGGCCGUCUGGUCUGGAUUCUGACACUGAAGCACGAAAGCGUGGGGAGCAAAUAGGAUUAGAUACCCUAGUAGUCCACGCCGUAAACGAUGAGAACUAGGUGUUGGGGGAAUAACUCAGUGCCGCAGUUAACGCAGUAAGUUCUCCGCCUGGGGAGUAUGCACGCAAGUGUGAAACUCAAAGGAAUUGACGGGGGCCCGCACAAGCGGUGGAGUAUGUGGUUUAAUUCGAAGCAACGCGAAGAACCUUACCAGGCCUUGACAUCCCUUGCAGAGGUAUAGAGAUAUAUCCGAGGUUAACAAGGAGACAGGUGGUGCAUGGUUGUCGUCAGCUCGUGUCGUGAGAUGUUGGGUUAAGUCCCGCAACGAGCGCAACCCUUAUUGUUGGUUGGUACCAUUAAGUUGACCACUCUAGCGAGACUGCCCGGGUUAACCGGGAGGAAGGUGGGGAUGACGUCAAAUCAUCAUGCCCCUUAUGUCUAGGGCUACACACGUGCUACAAUGGCAAGUACAAAGAGAAGCAAUACUGUGAAGUGGAGCAAAACUCAAAAACUUGUCUCAGUUCGGAUUGUAGGCUGAAACUCGCCUACAUGAAGCUGGAGUUGCUAGUAAUCGCGAAUCAGAAUGUCGCGGUGAAUACGUUC
rnacentral:rRNA from 1 species